rnacentral:rRNA from 1 species
CCUACGGGGGGCAGCAGUGAGGAAUAUUGGUCAAUGGACGCAAGUCUGAACCAGCCAUGCCGCGUGCAGGAAGACGGCUCUAUGAGUUGUAAACUGCUUUUGUACGAGGGUAAACUCAGAUACGCGUAUCUGUCUGAAAGUAUCGUACGAAUAAGGAUCGGCUAACUCCGUGCCAGCAGCCGCGGUAAUACGGAGGAUUCAAGCGUUAUCCGGAUUUAUUGGGUUUAAAGGGUGCGUAGGCGGUCGGAUAAGUUAGAGGUGAAAUCCCGAGGCUCAACUUCGGAAUUGCCUCUGAUACUGUUAGGCUAGAGAGUAGUUGUGGUAGGCGGAAUGUAUGGUGUAGCGGUGAAAUGCUUAGAGAUCAUACAGAACACCGAUUGCGAAGGCAGCUUACCAAGCUACUUCUGACGUUGAGGCACGAAAGCGUGGGGAGCAAACAGGAUUAGAUACCCCAGUAGUC